rnacentral:rRNA from 1 species
UACGUAGGGUGCAAGCGUUGUCCGGAAUUAUUGGGCGUAAAGAGCUCGUAGGCGGUCUGUCGCGUCGAUCGUGAAAACUUGGGGCUUAACCCUGAGCUUGCGGUCGAUACGGGCAUGACUGGAGUUCGGCAGGGGAGACUGGAAUUCCUGGUGUAGCGGUGAAAUGCGCAGAUAUCAGGAGGAACACCGGUGGCGAAGGCGGGUCUCUGGGUCGAUACUGACGCUGAGGAGCGAAAGCGUGGGGAGCGAACAGG